rnacentral:rRNA from 1 species
CCUUGGCGAUCACAGGCGAUGAAGGACGUAGUAGCCUGCGAUAAGCGUCGGCGAGCUGGCAAACGAGCUUUGACCCGACGAUUUCCGAAUGGGGAAACCCGGCCCGCAAGGGGUCAUCCCGCGCUGAAUUCAUAGGCGCGUGGAGGCGAACGCAGCGAACUGAAACAUCUAAGUAGCUGCAGGAAAAGAAAUCAACCGAGAUUCCGAAAGUAGUGGCGAGCGAAAUCGGAUCAGCCUGUACGUGAUAGUCGACUUGUUAGAAGAACGGUCUGGAAAGUCCGGCCAUAGCGGGUGAUAGCCCCGUAUUCGAAAACUUGUCGGUGGUACUGAGCGUACGUUAAGUAGGGCGGGACACGUGAAAUCCUGUCUGAAGAUGGGGGGACCAUCCUCCAAGGCUAAAUACUCGUGAUCGACCGAUAGUGAACCAGUACCGUGA